rnacentral:rRNA from 1 species
UACGUAGGGUGCGAGCGUUAAUCGGAAUUACUGGGCGUAAAGCGUGCGCAGGCGGUUUGUUAAGUCUAUUGUGAAAGCCCCGGGCUCAACCUGGGAAUGGCGGUGGAAACUAGCAAGCUAGAGUGUGUCAGAGGGGGGUGGAAUUCCACGUGUAGCAGUGAAAUGCGUAGAGAUGUGGAGGAACACCAAUGGCGAAGGCAGCCCCCUGGGAUAACACUGACGCUCAGGCACGAAAGCGUGGGGAGCAAACAGG